CAAGUGGAAAUCUAGAAUUGACACUACACACUGUAGGAUGGACUGUUAAUCCUAUCACUGAGAAAUCCAAUGAAAGUAAGUAGAAGGAGCCAGAAAUAUUUCUUUCUUGUAUGCACAUGUAGAUGUUUCAGUCAAGAGUUGACCAGUUUCCAUUAACUUCUCAUACACAUGCAACCUGCAGUGUAUCAGUGUAUGCUGAAAUUGGUGUUGCUAAAAAGCUGCUUCACUAUCCCAUUAAACUAACUGGAAUAGAUCCUUCGAUGACAGUCUAUAUUGACCGGCCUCUCCUUCAUCAAUCAUAGACAGUACUAGCUCAAGAUCCUCUACCAUUACUAUCAUUCAAACCAGAAGAGAGACUGAAGAAGGUACAUUUAGAUCUGAUAUUGCUCACAGAGUAAUGACAGAAUGUACUCCUCUAAUAAAAGAUUGUGGGACUGAUAUUCACUUCUUAGUUGAUAAAUUGCUUCAAUACAGAAUUGUAAAUGUUAGAGAAAAAGAAGAAUAGUUGCGCGAGAAAGUGACGAUGAAAGAAUGGAUGAAUUGCUUCACAUCAUUUUGAGUUCCAUUUGUAUGGAUGGAAAAGUAUUUGGUAUAUUCUUAGAUAUACUCAGAAAGGAAGAUACUCUAAGAACAAUUAAACUAGCUAAUGAGUUAAUACAAAAAUAUGAUUUUCUUACAACAGACUAAAAAGUA